rnacentral:rRNA from 1 species
GACGAACGCUGGCGGCGUGCCUAAUACAUGCAAGUUGAGCGCUGAAGGUUGGUACUUGUACCAACUGGAUGAGCAGCGAACGGGUGAGUAACGCGUAGGGAAUCUGCCUUUGAGCGGGGGACAACAUUUGGAAACGAAUGCUAAUACCGCAUAAAAACUUUAAACACAAGUUUUAAGUUUGAAAGAUGCAAUUGCAUCACUCAAAGAUGAUCCCGCGUUGUAUUAGCUAGUUGGUGAGGUAAAGGCUCACCAAGGCGAUGAUACAUAGCCGACCUGAGAGGGUGAUCGGCCACAUUGGGACUGAGACACGGCCCAAACUCCUACGGGAGGCAGCAGUAGGGAAUCUUCGGCAAUGGACGAAAGUCUGACCGAGCAACGCCGCGUGAGUGAAGAAGGUUUUCGGAUCGUAAAACUCUGUUGGUAGAGAAGAACGUUGGUGAGAGUGGAAAGCUCAUCAAGUGACGGUAACUACCCAGAAAGGGACGGCUAACUACGUG